rnacentral:tRNA from 1 species
GGAGAUACAGCUCAGUGGUAGAGUGCAUUCCUAACAUGUGCCUGGCCCUGGGUUCGAUCCCCAGCACCA